ACGGAGGGUGCAAGCGUUAAUCGGAAUUACUGGGCGUAAAGCGCACGCAGGCGGUUUGUUAAGUCAGAUGUGAAAUCCCCGGGCUCAACCUGGGAACUGCAUCUGAUACUGGCAAGCUUGAGUCUCGGAGAGGGAGGUAGAAUUCCAGGUGUAGCGGUAAAAUGCGUAGAGAUCUGGAGGAAUACCGAUUGCGAAGGCGGUCUACUGGACGAUGAUUGACGCUCAGGUGCGAAAGCGUGGGGAGCAAACAG
rnacentral:rRNA from 1 species